GCCCCGGUGGCACAAUCGGUUAGCGCGCCGUACUUAUAGACAGUACCUUCCUUGUGUUUCAAACCACAAGACGGAAGUUAUGCGGAGGUUGUGAGUUCGAGCCUCACCCGGGGCA
rfam:Octopus bimaculoides Scaffold177352_contig_1, whole genome shotgun sequence.